rnacentral:rRNA from 1 species
GCUUACAGCUAUGCUAGAUUGAAUACAUCCAAUUUUGCCUGAUUUUGGAGGCUAACCAGUCCAUGUCCUGGCUGGUACUGGGAUGGUAGAAUGCUUGGGAAUCCUGGGUGCUAGAGGUA